UGGGGAGUACGGCCGCAAGGCUAAAACUCAAAGGAAUUGACGGGGGCCCGCACAAGCGGCGGAGCAUGCGGAUUAAUUCGAUGCAACGCGAAGAACCUUACCAAGUCUUGACAUACACCGGAAACGGCCAGAAAUGGUCGCCCCGCAAGGUCGGUGUACAGGUGGUGCAUGGUUGUCGUCAGCUCGUGUCGUGAGAUGUUGGGUUAAGUCCCGCAACGAGCGCAACCCUCGUUCUAUGUUGCCAGCGGGUUAUGCCGGGAACUCAUAGGAGACUGCCGGGGUCAACUCGGAGGAAGGUGGGGAUGACGUCAAAUCAUCAUGCCCCUUAUGUCUUGGGCUUCACGCAUGCUACAAUGGCCGGUACAAAGGGCUGCAAUACCGCGAGGUGGAGCGAAUCCCAAAAAGCCGGUCUCAGUUCGGAUUGAGGUCUGCAACUCGACCUCAUGAAGUCGGAGUCGCUAGUAAUCGCAGAUCAGCAACGCUGCGGUGAAUACUUUCUCGGGCCUUGUACACACCGCCCGUCAAGUCAUGAAAGUCGGUAACACCCGAAGCCGGUGGC
rnacentral:rRNA from 1 species